AGUGAACGCUGGCGGUAGGCCUAACACAUGCAAGUCAAACGGCAGCACAGUAAGAGCUUGCUCUUACGGGUGGCGAGUGGCGGACGGGUGAGGAAUACAUCGGAAUCUACUUUUUCGUGGGGGAUAACGUAGGGAAACUUACGCUAAUACCGCAUACGACCUACGGGUGAAAGCAGGGGAUCUUCGGACCUUGCGCGAUUGAAUGAGCCGAUGUCGGAUUAGCUAGUUGGCGGGGUAAAGGCCCACCAAGGCGACGAUCCGUAGCUGGUCUGAGAGGAUGAUCAGCCACACUGGAACUGAGACACGGUCCAGACUCCUACGGGAGGCAGCAGUGGGGAAUAUUGGACAAUGGGCGCAAGCCUGAUCCAGCCAUACCGCGUGGGUGAAGAAGGCCUUCGGGUUGUAAAGCCCUUUUGUUGGGAAAGAAAAGCAGCAGGUUAAUACCCCGCUGUUCUGACGGUACCCAGAGAAUAAGCACCGGCUAACUUCGUG
rnacentral:rRNA from 1 species